UAAUAAUGCUUCCUAAACUCAUGAUCAUCUUUUAAUUCUGUUUAAAAAGAUAUUUAUUAAUAUUACAUAUCUAAAUAUUACUUAAGACGUGAGAAUGCCUUUUGACGCGAGGAUCGACAUUUUUAGAUGAAGAUCACCGGUUACUCAACACUUCACAUACUCAAGUUGCUUUGCAUACUCUUAAUUCAAGUACCGUUUUACGCGAAAGUCGACAUUUGUAGAUGAAGACUCCCGGUUACUAAGUACAAGAAUCAUUGGAGUAGAAGAAUUUUUAUUUAUUUUCUUUUUUCUUUUGUUUUUUGUUUUUCUCUUUUUCUUCAUUUUUUUCAUUUUUCAUCAUUUUUUUUAUAGCAAAGAGAAUAAUAAUUUUCUAAAAAAAUAAUCAUGAGAAGAGUAUUGCACUUAUUGACCAUAUUUAUCACUUAACUUAUAAAAUCCAAUAAAGAGAAGAAAUUUCAUCAAAUAUGCAAAAAAAAUAUAGGCAUAAUUUUCUCCACUUCACAAGAUAUAUUUUCCUACAAAUGCAAAAUUAUAAUCACAUAAUAGUCAUUUCCAAGUUAAAUGAGAAAAGAAGUUUCCAAAUCAUAUAUAUUUAUCUCAAAUGUAGAAGGAAUUUGAACUACUAAUGGUAUGAAACUUGUUACCCCUUGGAUAAAAUCGAAAAAAUAUGAAACUUUUUGGGGCAAGUUUGCAAUUUUGGACAAGAUUUUAGAAAAAUUUUGAAUUUUAACACAAGUCCAAUAUUUGCAACUAAUAAUUCAAUCACAUACAAUGUAUAUAAUCUCAAUUCUCCCCCCACACUUAACAUACACAUUGUCCUCAAUGUGUAAAAAGGAAAAUCAAGAUAAAGAAAGUAAUACUCCCC
rnacentral:lncRNA from 1 species